rnacentral:rRNA from 1 species
GAUGAACGCUGGCGGCGUGCCUAAUACAUGCAAGUCGAGCGAACAGACGAGGAGCUUGCUCCUCUGACGUUAGCGGCGGACGGGUGAGUAACACGUGGAUAACCUACCUAUAAGACUGGGAUAACUUCGGGAAACCGGAGCUAAUACCGGAUAAUAUAUUGAACCGCAUGGUUCAAUAGUGAAAGACGGUUUUGCUGUCACUUAUAGAUGGAUCCGCGCCGCAUUAGCUAGUUGGUAAGGUAACGGCUUACCAAGGCAACGAUGCGUAGCCGACCUGAGAGGGUGAUCGGCCACACGGGAACUGAGACACGGUCCAGACUCCUACGGGAGGCAGCAGUAAGGAAUCUUCCGCAAUGGGCGAAAGCCUGACGGAGCAACGCCGCGUGAGUGAUGAAGGUCUUCGGAUCGUAAAACUCUGUUAUUAGGGAAGAACAAAUGUGUAAGUAACUAUGCACGUCUUGACGGUACCUAAUCAGAAAGCCACGGCUAACUACGUG